GAUGAACGCUGGCGGCGUGCCUAAUACAUGCAAGUCGAACGCUGGAGAUCUAGCUUGCUAGAUCGAAGGAGUGGCGAACGGGUGAGUAAUACAUAAGCAACCUACCCACGAAGACUGGGAUAAUCUCUGGAAACGGGGACUAAUACCGGAUAGGUAAUCGGAAGGCAUCUUCUGGUUAUUAAAGGUUAAAAACACUGGUGGAUGGGCUUAUGGCGCAUUAGUUCGUUGGUGAGGUAACGGCCCACCAAGACGAUGAUGCGUAGCCGGCCUGAGAGGGUGAACGGCCACAUUGGGACUGAGACACGGCCCAGACUCCUACGGGAGGCAGCAGUAGGGAAUUUUCGGCAAUGGGGGCAACCCUGACCGAGCAACGCCGCGUGAGUGAAGACGGCCUUCGGGUUGUAAAGCUCUGUUGUAAGGGAAGAACGGUAGAUAGAGAAUAUCUAAGUGACGGUACCUUACCAGAAAGCCACGGCUAACUACGUG
rnacentral:rRNA from 1 species